AUAUUAAUCAGAAAAAUAACAGCUUGUUUGUCUGCUUAUGUUAGGUUAUACUACGUAAGUAUUCAUGCAUGUUUGCCUUUUUAAGGUUAUUUGUAAUAUCAAUAAAAAUGAAAAUAUACUUUUUGUGGACAUUGGGGGGUCGUGAAGACUCUAUCAGUGAGUAUUUGUUCUCGGAAGGACUAGAUAUGUAUAUUGAAUAAUCGGACAUAGUACGAUAAGGUUGUAUGUCUAAAGGGAAAUAGCCCAGAACAAGAGUUAAUAAGGUUCCCAAAUUUUUGUUAAGUGAAAUUAAGGCAGUAUUUAUCCCAAUCGGCCAGGGAAUAGGCUUAGAAGCGGCCAUUUUUUGAAGACCUCGUAACAGAGCACUGGUUUUUAUUUUAUGGAUAAAAGCACCGAAAAUUUAACGGAUCUAAACAAAAUACCGAUACCUUGUCCAUAUAUAUUAAUGUAUAUAUUAUAUAUUGUAUACAUGGGGUAGCGGAACAUUGGGUAGCCAUUUUUAAUCCUUUAUAAGGAUUAAAUUGCCCAUAGGGUAACAUCACAUCCUAUGGACUAACUAAGCCCAAGUGAUAAUGCUGACAUGAGUAACGAUAAAGGAUCAUUAAGACAUAAUGUCCGAGAAUCCUCGCCUAAAGCUUAUGGCAUUUAUUAAAGUUACGGCCUCUAAGUUUAUUCAUUUCAUAAAUAUUGACUAUUUAUAUGUAAAUAUUAAAUAAAUACUAUAUAUAAAUAUGUACUAUUUAUGUAAAUUACCUAGUGGUAUAAACGAUGAGAAAACCUAGGGCUUACAGAAAUUAACGUUUUUUAUUUACGUAGUAACUGAGACUCUGCUUCUCCCCCCUGGAUUAUUAUUUUAAUAACGUAUUCUUAAAUGGAGUACGGAAUCUUUUGCUAAUAUUUUAAGUAAAUUAAGUGAAAAAUGUUCUGGAAAACUGUAGCUCGUAAGUAUAUAAAUAAGUAAAACAAAUAUAUGUAAACUACGCUAUA
rnacentral:rRNA from 1 species